ACUGAAUAGAUACCCCGGUAGUCCACGCCGUAAACGAUGAUCACUCGCUGUUUGCGAUAUACAGCAAAGCGGCUGAGCGAAAGCAUUAAGUGAUCCACCUGGGGAGUACGAUCGCAAGGUUGAAACUCAAAGGAAUUGACGGGGGCCCGCACAAGCGGAGGAAACAUGUGGUUUAAUUCGAUGAUACGCGAGGAACCUUACCUGGGCUUAAAUGUAGGCUGCAUUCGGCUGAAAGGCUGAUUCCCUUCGGGGCUGCUUACAAGGUGCUGCAUGGUUGUCGUCAGCUCGUGCCGUGAGGUGUCGGGUUAAGUCCCAUAACGAGCGCAACCCCUAUCGUUAGUUGCCAGCGGGUCAAGCCGGGGACUCUAGCGAGACUGCCACCGUAAGGUGAGAGGAAGGUGGGGAUGACGUCAAAUCAGCACGGCCCUUAUGUCCAGGGCUACACACGUGUUACAAUGGCCGGUACAAAGGGCAGCUACUAUGCGAAUAGAUGCUAAUCUCGAAAGCCGGUCCCAGUUCGG
rnacentral:rRNA from 1 species